ensembl:lncRNA
AUCAGUGCAAUCCUAAGAUACACUGUUUGUUCUUUUUUAGUUUUUGAUGUUAACAUCGCAUUCUUUUUCUCAUUUAAGAUGAUUAGUUUUUACUGCAUCUAUGUAUCAUCUUAUAAAAGUGUGCAAUGGAUAAGUGGAAUUAGGGCUGUCGCAAUUAUUACAUAAUUGCCAGAUCGUGAUUAUUUGAGCCAGAUCACAAUUUUAUGGACAACAAUCUUUUAAUAUUUUUGCACAAUAUUUUGAUUCCAAAAUCAUGUUUCCAAACUGAAUAUAGUCUUUUUAGGCCAAUGUUAAAAACGUCUCAACAAAUACCAUGCAAAUUAUGUCAGUUUCCAUCAGUUAGGAUAUCCAGCUCAUGGGAGCAGAAGAGCGUUUGACAGCUCUGCGUAAAGUUAAAGGCGCAGAUCAUUUACUGAAACCUGUUUUCUUCUUAAUUUUACUAUGUGUAAACCUAGUUUGAAUUGUCAUUUUGUCAUUUGUAACCAUAUUUCCUAAUUAGAUAAUGCGUGUUAAAAUGUGUGGAUACAAAUAUGUUGUCCCAUUGCAUAUAAAACACUGAAACAGGUUUUUACUUAAGGAAAGCUGUUUCAAAUAACUAAGCUAUAAUAUUUGCAGCAGAGCGGGAGGUGAAAUGUCACGAUACGCAGCAAAAUGUUAUUGUCAUUGUUUUGUGGUUUCAUUUUGUCAACAGCAAUCGUUAACAACUUUGAUUUAGUGGUAGAUCCAAAGCCAAACACAACUGCACCGCUCUGAGAGGAUUUGGGUUUUAAGCCAAAUUGAAAGAGGUGGCGGUCAGAAGCUCAAACAUCACAAAUCUGAAGAGCCAUCUCCAGAUCCUCCAUGUGUAUUUUUACAAUAUUGUUAGGCUUACACUGUUAUAAUGGCGUAACAUUUACAAUAUAGAAAAUGUAAUUGUUAAUCGCAAUUAUUUGUGCAACAAUUAAUCGUCAACUAAAAUGUCAUAAUCGUGACAGCCCUUCGUGGAUGUUAGUUUGAGAGAUUACCGGUGUGUUUUCCCUCAGACUAUGAUCAUCAACAUGUUCAUGCAAUGAAAGCCUAUGAGAGCAAUGUUGGGUGGAAUAACGAUGGAUCUCAUUGGUCAGUGGAAAGACAAGCUACAGAACACUUAAGCCUGGUUGUAGAAAACAUAUAUGGGGAAAAAUAUAUACCUUAAAGUAACUGCACUGACAUUCUAACUUCCAGUUAACAGUAUGUGUCCAAAGCCUAGACUUCUUUUUUAAACAGGUUUGAACUGGCCAAUCAGCAGUCUAGGAAAUAAUGUACUGGCCUACAACCAGUCUACUGAUAUGGAGCCACACAAUAUCUACAUAGAAAAGCUGCAUGGUAACUUCAUUACCAUUUUAAGGCAGGAAAACUACUACUACUAUACCACAAUGCAUUGGUAUUUUUAAUAAUUAUAGGUAUUUCAUUUGAAUGGAAACAGUGGCCGAUUCUUACAUGAAUUCUUACAUGACACCCUUACUGGUGUUGUUUGCUACCUGGCCCAUGCUUUUAAAAUCCCCAGCAUUGGAUCAAAAGGGAAUUUCAGCUUAGCAGGAUGCCUAGCUUUCCUUGUAUCAGCUUCUCUUUCUGUUCUGUGGGGAAAUCAUGUCAAAGAAAAUCACCAACCAACAUGGCAUAGAGAAAUACUGGCAAAUAGGCAAUAGUUUCUAAUCUUGAGCAGGUUAAAGGACAGAGAUAUUAGCAUUCCAUCACUGUCACAAUAUAAAUGUUUCAAUAGGGUUUCUGAGAAGCAGACACUGGAGUUUUAAUUCACCUAAAAGAGAAGACUAAAGAAAUGUAUGUAGCAAACACUGAUGUUGAAGAGGAGUUGUGUGUAUUUAAAACUAACAGCUGUAAACCAGAUGAAGAGCAAACUAAACAAUACCACACUUAAGUGUGUGAUGAGGAGUUUCAGAAGUUGUUGUGUCAUAAUACUUUAACGAACUUUGUCUUCGACAGUCGCUUUAGUGAAACUGUUUAUGUAAAAAAAACGAGCACAAAUAUUCUCUCCUUUCGACACUGAUAUUGCACACACGUUUUAAUCACCAAUGUUGAAAGUGUCCCAUUUGGUUCAGCUACUACUGUAUUUAUGGUUUUGGGGUAUAAUAAUCCAAACAGAUGUAACCAUGACAUUUGUAAGAGUAUUGUAUAUUGUGUUGAUGGCAAUGUUUCUUACUCUCUCAUUGGGGGCUUCAUUAUGGCAAUAUAUAUUUUAGUUUCUUUAACUGUGUUGGUGUGAGAGGGGCCACAGACAUUGUAGAGAAGGCCCCUUUCAUGCUUUUGUAUCUCAUUGUCACUCCAAACUGGGUCCAGUCCUAGAUACACAACUUGGAGUAAAAAUCUACGGUACGUGAUGGAAGCUGUUCCUGUAAUUUUUAACAGUGUGAAAUAUUACUUUCUACGGUCAAGUUUUGCAAUUGUAAAGGUGUCGAUAUGUACAGUUUGAUCCAAUAAGCCUUGCUAUUUGUCCAUGGUCUGGUGUACUCCAUUCCUCAUAGAUAGGAUUUAGUAUUGAACGUAUUGAAGUGAAUACUGAAUGGAAGCGAGGACACAGUACAUCUCAUAGCUUAAAACUUGCUUUAUUGUUUUAGUGAAUACGCAUCUCUGUUCCAUCGAAUUCAUCAUAUAAGACAAGCAGCUGUACUUUUGUAACACUCAGCUCAUUUUAAUGGGGUAUUAUGGUAUAUUCCUUCCUUUAUAACCACAGAAGGCAGCAGUAGUUGCGUAAGCACAGUUUACAAUACAGGGUGAAUUGAUGGUGAGACUAAACUAAUAUGGGGGGGCGGGGGUUUCUUUUUAUGACAUAACGCAGAAUAGUUGUUCCUAAUUUUACUACUGUUAUUCAACCAAGAAAAUGUGAAUAAUAUUUUUAUAGAUAGUGGAAGAGUUGGCCAGGUGCAUUUGUAAAUAGAGGGUGAACAAUGCUUUUGGCUAUGGUUCCAUUUUGGUUUCAUCCCGGGCAUAUUACUGUUUUUCUUUUGUUAAAUAUUAUUGUGUGUGAUCGGUUUUGUUGUUGGUUUUUAUUUCUGUAUAUAUAUGUAAUAUGAACAGUGAAUUCAGAUUUUAAAAAGCUUGCAGGUUUUGUAGUCCCCCACGGUUUUCCUCUUAACUGUAUUUAGCACAACUUGGUGGACUUUGUGUUUUAAAAGCCUCUGCUCUAGCUCAUGGUUCCGAGGUGCUUUUUCCUUUAUUUGGGUGUACCUCUAUCUUUCAGUCGCCUCUCCAUCUCGCCGUCUAGCCAUUUUUAGAUUUUGUACAAAACUCAUGCACCCAUUGGAGAUAUUGAGGCCCUGUUGCAAUACUGAGUUACUCUUUAUCCUGUAUUUACUGUCUCCCUCACUCUCACUGUAUUUUUCUUCCUCAUAUUAUCCUUUCAUAUUAGAUAAACCAGUUUGCCUAAACAUUUCCUUUCUAUCAAAAGGUCCAAGGAACCACUAUGGGCAUUGGAUAAUGCAUACAUACUAUACCGACAGAUUCAGUUUAUUGACAAACCCAACAAGCCUUUGCUCUUCUUGGGCAGCCACAACAAGCGCAGGUCACUUCACAUGAUGCUAGGUAGACUAGUAUACCCAGACAGAUGUGAAGGUCCCUGACACCUGUGCUCUGAGGGUACAUGGCUUUGGGUAAAUAUUUUUGCAGGAAUUUACUGUAGAUUUUAAUUGACAUCAGUCUGUUAAUUUAUCUGGAUAUUGGUUGGGUAAUUUAUUUGGUUUGUGGUUAUGCCUUUAUGGACUUCUCUGAAUGCAGUCUCAAAAUGUCCAGUCCUGUCACUCGUUCUAGGCCGAGCAUCAGCCAGAGAUGUUAGAUCAAAGCUGUUAUUGCUUGAUGAGAUUCCCCAGAUGACAGCACUGCUCUUUUCUUUCCAUCCAUUUGCUUUGCAGUAUGUUAUUGUCUGAAUGAACUUCAGCGCUUCUUCCAACUGAAGGUUUACCAUUUCCAAGGCUAUGGCAUUUAAAAACUUUUUUCCCACAGUUUUGGUACAUG